rnacentral:rRNA from 1 species
UAUGGUGAUACCACCCUGAACACACCCAUCUCAUCUGAUCUCAGAAGCUAAGCAGAGUAGACUCUGGUUAGUACUUGGAUCAGANGCUUACUUAU